GACGAACGCUGGCGGCGUGCUUAACACAUGCAAGUCGAACGGAAAGGCCCUGCUUUUGUGGGGUGCUCGAGUGGCGAACGGGUGAGUAACACGUGAGUAACCUGCCCCUGACUUUCGGAUAACUUCAGGAAACUGCGGCUAAUACCGGAUAGGAGCUCUUGCUGCAUGGUGGGGGUUGGUAAGUUUCGGCGGUUGGGGAUGGUCUCGCGGCUUAUCGGCUUGUUGGUGGGGUAGUGGCUUACCAAGCCUAUGACGGGUAGCCGGCCUGGGAGGGUAGCCGGCCACAAUAGUACUGAGGUACGGCGCAGACGCCUACGGGAGGCAACGGUGGAGAGUAUUGCGCAAUGGGGGGAAGCCUGAUGCAGCGGCGCCGCGUGCGGGAUGACGGCCUUCGGGUUGUGAACCGCUUUCGCCUGAGACGAAGCGUGAGUGACGGUAAUGUAUAAAGAAGCACCGGCUAACUACGUG
rnacentral:rRNA from 1 species